UACUUGUGAGAGAUAGCUAUUCCAAUAAUAGUUUCUACUUAUAACAGAUCAGACAGUUCUAAUAGGGAAAAUAUUUCUCUAAAUGAUGUUCUUACACUUACCGCAACAAAAACCAGAAAAUAUUCAUGUUCAUCGUCAUCGACACUGAGUGCUCAAUCAGGCUUGUUAUCUACUACAAAUAAGGCUACAGAUCUUUCCAAAAUGACACAUUACCAAAACAUAGAUCAACUUUAACUGCAUCAGUAAUAGGAAUGGAUCCACCCAAUCGUAAUAAAAUUAUAAACUUGAAGAAAAGGCCUUAUCCACGAUAUUUUGGAGAAUGUCAUACUUCUUACAUGGAUAGUCCAAAAAGAGCAAGACAAAAUUGGAGUAUUUGUAAGAAAAAAAUUAAAAUGCAAACAAAAUCCGAAGUCUACAGCAGGCAAAGAGUCGACUAAAAGCCAGAAUUUGUAGCCUUAAUUCUCUUCUGAAAUUUUUGAAAAAGAAAUAUGACUUAACAGAAACUGCUCAAUGUAUCAUUCAUGAAUAUGGAAUAUUAGGUGAAAUCUGUCGAAGAUCAAGAAAAUGACAAUCUCGCAAAACGUGUUCAUCUGAGCUUAGGUCGUUUGCCUUAACGUUAAGCUUUUAUUCAACAGAUGCUUAUAAUUAUGCAAGAAGAAGUUUUAACAUGGCUUUGUUACAUACAAAAACAAUUUCUAAGUGGUACAGAUCAACGAAUUCUUUUUUUUCUUUUCUUAGGCAACAAAUAUAUGUUUUAUUAUUAAUUAAUAAUAUAUUGUUAGGUUAAGAUAAAGAUUUUAAAUACUGCUUUGUAGUGGUUGACAAUGUUAUACAAUACCACUUGUUUUCCUAGUGAUAAAUGUUUUUUAAUACUGCUUUAUCACAAUGUGUUUGUAGCUCACUUUAGGUAUUUAGGUGUGCGUAAUGUACUUUUAUUGUAACCUGUAAUUGGGCCUUGUACAUGUUAGUUGGGUGCA